AUGGUGGAGGACCUUGGCUGUGUUCCGGUGAUCAUCAAAACUGAUUCUUUGGAACUAACUCAAGAGAUCAAUGGGAUUACUCAGGUUUGGAGUCCAUACAUUGCGAUUCUUGUUGUCGAUUGCUUUCAAAUAGCCUAUCGGAUUGGCGAUACUGCCUUGCAACAAUGUCCCUGGGACUGCAAGGCAAACUGUGUGGCACACAAUUUAGCUAGAUUUGCUUUUGAAUCAAAUUCUUCUAUAUUAUGGUAUGAUGACCCUCCUAGUUUCAUCGUCUUGGAUGUAAUGAAUGAUGUAUGUUUGUUUAAGUUCAAAUAA
rnacentral:rRNA from 1 species